rnacentral:rRNA from 1 species
GACGAACGCUGGCGGCGUGCUUAACACAUGCAAGUCGAGCGGAAAGGCCACUUCGGUGGUACUCGAGCGGCGAACGGGUGAGUAACACGUGAGUAAUCUGCCCUUGGCUUUGGGAUAGCCACCGGAAACGGUGAUUAAUACCGGAUAUGACCACUUUACGCAUGUUUGGUGGUGGAAAGUUUUUCGGCCAGGGAUGUGCUCGCGGCCUAUCAGCUUGAUGGUGAGGUAAUGGCUCACCACGGCUUCGACGGGUAGCCGGCCUGAGAGGGUGACCGGUCACACUGGGACUGAGACACGGCCCAGACUCCUACGGGAGGCAGCAGUGGGGAAUAUUGGACAAUGGGCGGAAGCCUGAUCCAGCAACGCCGCGUGAGGGAUGACGGCCUUCGGGUUGUAAACCUCUUUCAGCAGGGACGAAGCGCAAGUGACGGUACCUGCAGAAGAAGCACCGGCCAACUACGUGCCAGCAGCCGCGGUAACAC